rnacentral:rRNA from 1 species
UGGGGAAUAUUGCACAAUGGGCGCAAGCCUGAUGCAGCGACGCCGCGUGGGGGAUGAAGGCCUUCGGGUUGUAAACUCCUUUCGCUAGGGAAGAAGCCACUUGUGGUGACGGUACCUGGAUAAGAAGCACCGGCUAACUACGUGCCAGCAGCCGCGGUAAUACGUAGGGUGCGAGCGUUGUCCGGAAUUACUGGGCGUAAAGAGCUCGUAGGUGGUUUGUCGCGUCGUCUGUGAAAUUCCGGGGCUUAACUUCGGGCGUGCAGGCGAUACGGGCAUAACUAGAGUGCUGUAGGGGAGACUGGAAUUCCUGGUGUAGCGGUGAAAUGCGCAGAUAUCAGGAGGAACACCGAUGGCGAAGGCAGGUCUCUGGGCAGUUACUGACGCUGAGGAGCGAAAGCAUGGGUAGCGAACAGGAUUAGAUACCCUGGUAGUCCAUGCCGUAACGGUGGGCGCUAGGUGUGGGGGUUUUAUUUACGAUUCCCGUGCCGUAGCUAACGCAUUAAGCGCCCCGCCUGGGGAGUACGGCCGCAAGGCU